rnacentral:lncRNA from 1 species
UCAGUUCUUCCCGGAAAAGCAAGACUGUUCUGGAUGGUGCUAUUCCAGCCUCUCCUAAGACCCUAAAAGACCCCAUGCUCGGCAGAUGGGGCCAUGGAUACCAACUAUUGAUGACGAAUCGAGGAGUAUAUAGGACUCCCAUAAAGACUCCUUUCUCCGAGUCCUGGUUCCGUGACUGGAACAUAAAUUAAGUAACUUAGGUCUCUUCUCUAAAUAGGCGACUUACCCAAGGCACUAGUUUCUAAUGUGGGAGGAAGAAGACAACAGCAAAAGCGCUUAGUGAACGGAGGAAGCCUGAGCGCACGCCGUCGGCUGCCUGGUCGGCCUGGGCACCAGCCGCACACAGUAGACGCCACAUAAAUGGGCAUCGAGCAACCACACAAACAGGAGGAGCAGGAGGAGAAUAAAAUAUUUCCUUGUAACUGUAAAGCAAGAAAUCAACAGAGUAACCAUCUACCACAGAAGAUUCAAGAAAUGGUAAGUAGAGAUUUGUCUAAUUCACUUAAGAAAAUAAAUAUUGGCUGCUUUUAGUUCAAUAGGCCACGAUCUGAUUAAGGUGUAAAGCUAAAAGAAAAUUAAAAAAAAAAUCAAAAACAAAACUCCUCAAAUAUCUGUUCAUGAUAAAUGACCAGUUUAAAGGAUAGCAAGAGAACAACAGGUUCACAUC